ACGAGCUGUUUGCUCCACUAAAGAAAUAUGUAGGCCUUAGGUGUUGUUGUCCAUUUCUAUCUUACGAUGGGAAUUUGUGUUCAUGCAAAAAUUUUGUUUUUUAUUUGUUUUGGAUGCCACUAGGCUUGGCGAAAGUGCAGUUAGUGGCCGCGCGCCAACUUCCGCUGCAGCUGGAGAAACCAUAAGGUGACCAUGCCUCCUGAUACAAAGAGAAGCUUUGACACUGUCAUCUGAUCCAUCAGCUGUCACCUUUGCUGUCUGGACAGUGUCAGCUGUGGGACAUCAUCACAUAGUGAAAAUUGUUCCUCGUCUUGUCAAGACCGUCUCCCCUCUUCCCUGAGGAAGUUCACAGCUGGGCCCGCAACCGCACAUCUGCCCAUCUGAGUUCAUCUUCCGUGCUGUGUGAGAUCUGCUGGAGGCAGCAGAGGGCCUUGCGACAUUGGCAAGGAUGGCACUGGACACACGUGAUUGGCAGGGAGAGGAGAGGAUGGCAUGUCUGAGAUGAACACUGGAGAGCCUUCUGUGUCCUUGUGCUUCUGUCCUGCAGAUGGAGGCCCCGCCCUGCACACAGACCAGCGAUCAGCUCCCUGGUUCUGCAGAGAGAGCAGCAGUUCUUCAGUAUGAGAAUGCCAUUUCCAACCCCUCUUUGCCUGAAAAGCCCAAUUAUGGCUCCUCAGGUUGCUCCAGACCGUGACAAUCCCCAGACCCCCAGCAAGAGCUGGGCAGAGUGAAGACUGAAGGCAAGCAGGAACAGCACUGGGCCUCCAAGCCUAAGACAGAGGAGCUGGGCCUCUAACUCAGAGGACCUGGCCCUGACCUUGGCCCAGACAGCACCCAGACCAGUCCAAAACAGCCUGGAACCCUACAAUCCUGCAAAGUGCUAGAACCUGAAGGCCAUCUGAGGUGUGGUGGCCACUGGAGUAUCCACAACUCCAAGGAAAAACUGUGUUGGGGUUGGUGACUCCUUCCUGGGGCCAGAAACACAGAUGCCAGCACCACCAUGAGAUGGAGAGAGUCCAUGGCCUGUGCUGACAGCAAGGACAGUAUGGUCCCUCCUGGCCUAGUCGCCCUUCACUUCUUCACUCCUUCCCCCAUCUCAGUGAGUGACGGAGAUGAUCUCUGUAUUAACUGCUAUUAUUUAUCAUGUGUUUGCUUGCCAGGCCAUUGGCCAGAGGGAAGAGACUUUUCACCACACAUCAUCUUUAGCAGUUGAACAAAACUGACCUCAGACCUUCUGUGAAAACAGCCUCCAAAUGUAUCAAGGGCAUUACGUGGAAUGCAAGAUUGUGAUUUCUCAGAGGGGGAAAGGAGCCAUUUUUUUGUGACCUUGGCAUAGGGGAAGCUGAAAGCACAAGCUACAGAGAAAAGAAAAGUCGGUCGAUUUCAUCAAAGUUAAAAUCCUUCAUGCUGCAGAAGGCACUGUUGAGAGAGUGACAGGCCAGCCGCAGCUGGGCAGGAAGCAUCUGCAAUUCAUAUGUGACAAUGCACUUGUGUGCAGAACACAAAAAUAAGCUCAGACUCAAUGACGGCCAAACAAAGACCCCAGUGUUCUUUAACCCGACCAAAGUUUCACACAGACAUUUUACUCCCUAGAGUACAAGUAACAAAUACACAAGAGAAGAAACAUUCAACCUCACGAGUUACGAAGAAAUUGAAGAUGAAGGAAGCAGCAAGCGGUGCCGUACACAUUGAUAGUAUUAAAUGUCAGUCUGGAGAAUCUAGACUCACCUGGUAGAUCUCUGGGCAUACAAAUGGGGGUAAUUCAGACUAUAUCAGUUGAUUUGGGAAGACUUGCCUACCAUGGGUAGCACCAUUCCAUGGCUGGGAUCCUGGACUUGGGAUAAGUGGAGAAAGAAACUUGGCCGGCAGUAUGAAAUAAUUCUUCUCUGUUAUCCCUAAGUGUGGAUGCAACAUGACAAGCCUUCCUCCUGCUCUGAACACUAUACCUUCCCUGCCUGCUUUCAUGGCUUCCUCACCAUGAUGGACUGUGUUCCUCUGUAACUGUAAGUCCCCCCAAGCCUCUUUCUUUCUUAGGUUGCUUUUGUCAUACUACUUUGUCACAGCAGAAAAUAAAUAAGACAGAAACACUCA